GAUCCGGCUCAGAUCGAACGCUGGCGGCAGGCCUAACACAUGCAAGUCGAGCGGAUGAAGAGAGCUUGCUCUUUGAUUCAGCGGCGGACGGGUGAGUAAUGCCUAGGAAUCUGCCUGAUAGUGGGGGACAACGUUUCGAAAGGGGUCGCUAAUACCGCAUACGUCCUACGGGAGAAAGCAGGGGACCUUCGGGCCGUUGCGCUAUCAGAUGAGCCUAGGUCGGAUUAGCUAGUUGGUGAGG
rnacentral:rRNA from 1 species